UUUUUCUUCUCUUAACUCAGGCGCGCCCUGCGACGACGCUGCCUGGUCCCGGCGUGGCCGUAUCGUGCGGCCUCAGGUCACGGCCGUUCGCAGGAGACCCUGACGGAGAGACGACAGCCUGGCGAUGGCAGGAACUUCCCGGAUAGCCAGGCGGCCUUCCUUGGCGCUCCGUGUGGAUCCUCUCCAGCGGGCAUCCGAGAGCUGAGUCAAAGGCUACCACCCGCAGAGGGGAUGAAAGCGGGGUGCCGGCUCUCUUUCAGAUGCGGACGGAUGAAAUCGGUGGCAGAGCGCCCCAUCCCGGGAAAUAGAGCCGGCUAGCAGCAGUCAAGGUGAAGCGGGCAA
rnacentral:lncRNA from 1 species